UGGAUGUUUCCUCUGUGGUAGUGGGGCGGCACCGCCUGAUAGACUUUGGUAAGCUUGCAUGUCACAGUCAGGACUGAAAAGAACCAUACAAGCAUGAAACUGAGUUCUAAAUUCACCUGCUAUACCUACCAAAAGAUCACAAGCGUGCACCACCACUUGUUCAAUUUUGGUUUCUCCCGAAGACUUACCUACCCAUACACUUUAUAAUCUCCAUACUAACAGCUGAAUUGUGAGGCAGGUUAUGGCUAUGCCUAGUUGCCACAGACCUAAAAAGAUUUCUUUGGUACAGAUCGUAGUCAUGCAAAUUCCUUGACAC
rnacentral:lncRNA from 1 species